UAAACUGCUUAAAUUCUCCAAUCAUUUCUUCACGAAGAAGUGUGCCCCUAAAAUCGCAAAGUCUGUAACCGUUCUCAAGCUUAUGCCUCCAAAUAGUACUGCUAGUAGUAACAUAUCGACCACUAGGAUCCCACUCCAGCUCAGUCAUACCAAAGUGCUCGGCAGAACCUAUUUGCUGAACAUUGGCAAGAGCAUCCGGUUCUUUCUUUUCGGUAUCAAAAUCUAAGUCGUAAA